AUUGAACGCUGGCGGCAGGCCUAACACAUGCAAGUCGAGCGAGCGGCGGACGGGUGAGUAAGGUCUGGGAAACUGCCUGAUGGCGGGGGAUAACUACUGGAAACGGUAGCUAAUACCGCAUACCAUCAGAUGUGCCCAGAUGGGAUUAGCUAGUAGGUGGGGUAACGGCCCACCUAGGCGACGAUCCCUAGCUGGUCUGAGAGGUUGACCAGCCACACUGGAAAUGAGACACGGUCCAGAGUCCUACGGGAGGUAGCAGUGGGGAAUAUUGCACAAUGGGCGAAAGCCUGAUGCAGCCAUGCCGCGUGUGUGAAGAAGGCUUUCGGGUUGUAAAGCACUUUCAGCGGGGAGGCGUUACCUGCAGAGAAAGCACCGGCUAACUCCGUGCCAGCAGCCGCGGUAAUUC
rnacentral:rRNA from 1 species